rnacentral:rRNA from 1 species
UACGUAGGGUGCAAGCGUUGUCCGGAAUUAUUGGGCGUAAAGAGCUCGUAGGCGGUUUGUCGCGUCUGCUGUGAAAACCCGAGGCUCAACCUCGGGCCUGCAGUGGGUACGGGCAGACUAGAGUGCGGUAGGGGAGAUUGGAAUUCCUGGUGUAGCGGUGGAAUGUGCAGAUAUCAGGAGGAACACCAAUGGCGAAGGCAGAUCUCUGGGCCGUAACUGACGCUGAGGAGCGAAAGCAUGGGGAGCGAACAG